AGUUGCGUGAGUUCUGAGCAAAGACUUGGUUGUGGAGAGGUCAUUAUAGACCCCGGCAAUGGGAAGAACAGAAGCAUAAUUAAACUGCCUCCAUGGAGGGUAGCAAGCAAACAACUUUGAGGUCUGCAGAGAAUCUCAGCCUCCCCUCAGUCCAAAUGGUUGUGAUGAAUGCCAGUGCGGACUGCAAUCACUGCAGGGAAAGGGUCUCCAAGGUUGUCUCCAGGAUGAACUCAGGACUGCUGGAUUACACGUUCGACUUGCGCAACAAAGAGGUGACAGUGACGGGGGUGGUUGUGGACACCAGAAACUGCAAGCAAGCCAAAGGAUCACUGCUUACCAAGAUAAAAAGAUCUCUCCAUGCUCAUUGGCGCUCUUUAGACUGAUCUGUUCUGCUGUGUUUUAAGUCUUCCACAAUGCGUAAUCCCACUCCAUUUAAAGCCUACUAUUAGGAAUUGGGAUCAUGGGCUGAUUUCAUAUAUAAAUCUUAUGUAAAAUCGUAUAUAUACUAUAAAAAAAAAGAUUAUGAUAAGAUUACAGUCAUUGUAACUUUUCAUUUUAUGGAUAAAAUCCAUUCAUGUU